ACAUUUAUCGGCUUACAUUAUCAAAAUUUAUUACAUACCAAAAUUUAUUCGCUUCUCCAUUGUUUAGUAUAGUGGUUGUUACUGUGUAACCUUGUAGAAACUACUUAUAUCACAUAAUGUAUUUAUUAUGUUUGCUUCCAACAUUUCUCUCAGUGUUCGAUGAUUUUUCAAAACAGUAAGACAGCGAUUAAGUUUAUAUACCUCUGGCAUUCGCAAUUCAAGACGGUGUUAACUGUACUAUUGUUACAAAUUGUUAAUUGUUACAAAGUACUGUAAUUUUAAUAAACAAAUAAUUUUAAUCUGUAAAGGUGAGUUACCAUAAGCGAAGUAUUUCUCAUUAAAACAUAUAACAAAUUUCUAAACUCACAAAUACAGAUUUAUAUUCUUCAAAACAUAUUCUUGUGCUGACGAUUAUAUUUAACGAUUCUUUUAAAUUUUUUCUUUUUCGAUUUAUAUUACGUGAGCUGAGAUUAAUGUAAUAAUUAUCUAUCGUCUGCUAUCGUUAUCUACCGCUUUAAUACAAUUAACUGCAAUAGUUGUUAUAUAAUCUUUAUUUUUCGUACAUAGAAGUUAAAUAGAAUAUGUUGCAAAUGUAUAUGUUUAUUUUUAAUCAAGAAAUUCUUCUUGCAGAGGCUUUAAAUGGAAAUUGAUAUGGCAUUACGACAUAUUUUAUUAAAUGUCAGAUUAAUAUUAAUACUCAUAAUUAUACUAUCUACUAUAAAAUUGACGAAAAAUGAGACUGAAUUGAAUUACAAUGUUUCGGAAAACACUUUAAAACCAUUGCAUUAUGAUGUAAAAAUAAAAUUUGACGGAUACAAUAAUGUCUUUUCUGCGAAAUGCAAUAUUAUCAUCCAGAUUAAUCGUGCAACGAAAAAUAUAACUAUGAUGAGUUCAAAGAUUUUCGGUAUAGCAAAAAUUGACUUGAUUGACAAGAAUGUUAAUCAAACAAUCAACAUCCAGAAAUUUUCAUUUAUCGAUAAAACGUACAUUUAUUUUGAUUUUAUCCAAUCAUCAGUAGAUUUAUUAUCUCCUGGUACGUAUAUCUUAAAAAUAAUAUAUGUCAGUAGCAUAUUAGAUGACGGAGACUUUUUUGAAUCUUUUGACAUAGUCAAAGAAAAAGACAAACUAUUAAACAAAGUAAUAAGAGCAGGAGAACUAUUUCCAUAUUUGAACGAGCCAGUAUUCAAAUCAACCUUUAAAAUUUCUAUUUGGCACCAUAAAAACUACACAUUUUUAUCAUCUAUGCCGAUACAAAAACAAGUUGAAGAUAUGCAUAACAUGCUGUGGACUUAUUUUGACACAUCACCUUUAAUGUCCGCUCAACAUUUAACCAUUGUGAUAACCACAUUCACUAAUUUCUUCGCCUCUAAUAGAAAUGUUAAAAUUUGGUAUAGAAAAGGGAUGAGAUAGACCAGUUGCGAUUUGCAGAAAACAUUGUCCAUAGAGUCGUGCACUAUUUGGCACAAAAAAUUUCAAGAAAAAUAUCAAAAAUAGAUUACAUUGUAACUAAGGACUUUCAACACAGUAACAUAAAGACACGGAGAUUCAUUCUAUUAAGGGAAGAAGAUAUUAUUUAUAAUAAUACCUUAGAUGACAUUGCCCGCAAAAUAAAAGUGGCGAACUUAGUAGCACGUAAAACGAUAUCUCAGUGGUACGAUGAUGUGUUUCUGUGGUCCAAAGAAGGAUUUAUUACAUUUCUUGCAGCGCAUAUUUUGAAUCAGACUCGGUUAUAUUAUCGCAUGAUGGACUUAUUUGUCGUUCAAACACAACAGGAAUCUUUACGUUUCGACACUCGUUUUAUGCCAAAUUU